rnacentral:rRNA from 1 species
GAGUUUGAUCAUGGCUCAGAUUGAACGCUGGCGGCAUGCCUUACACAUGCAAGUCGAACGGUAACAGGUCUUCGGAUGCUGACGAGUGGCGAACGGGUGAGUAAUACAUCGGAACGUGCCCGAUCGUGGGGGAUAACGAAGCGAAAGCUUUGCUAAUACCGCAUAAGAUCUACGGAUGAAAGCAGGGGACCGCAAGGCCUUGCGCGAACGGAGCGGCCGAUGGCAGAUUAGGUAGUUGGUGGGAUAAAAGCUUACCAAGCCGACGAUCUGUAGCUGGUCUGAGAGGACGACCAGCCACACUGGGACUGAGACACGGCCCAGACUCCUACGGGAGGCAGCAGUGGGAAUUUGGACAAUGGCGAAAGCCUGAUCCAGCCAUGCCGCGUGCAGGAUGAAGGCCUCGGUUGUAAC